UGCAAUGGAUCAUUACAUUUAUAUUCAAUCUGUGCAGCAACUCCAUGGUGAUGCCACAAGAAACCCAGGACAGAAACCUUAAAGGAAGCAUACGGAGCCACUUUCUAUGAAGUGCUGCUGUCCUGGUUUGAGCAGUGUGGUGGCUCCACUGCCACCAAAUGCAGCAUGAAGAAUAAGCAGCACCAGCAAAACUCUACUUAAAACAACCAGAUCCCAUGUAUGUACCCACCUUUAGUCCAGGUGCUCCCAUGGGCCCUGGCAUGCCUGGCAACCCCUUGGGACCUCGAGCUCCAGGAUAACCUGCCAGACCUGCUCUCCAAAAGAAAAUGCUGAGUAUUUACAAAGGACACACAGUUCCUUGUCUUCAAAAGGCUCCUCUUGCACUCUGCCCAGCAGGACACCUACUGCUUCCUGCUCUGUUUUCUCCCUCAGGGAGAAAGGCAUGCAAGUCAGCUCCUCUGCAAUAACUCAAGAAAAAACAUUAAAAAUUUCAGCUCAGGGCAAGCAAGAGAAAUAAAUAAACCUCAAGGCAUUUGCCACAUGUAUCCAUCAUGGACAUAUGGAUUCAAGCUCCACUGUAGGCUGCAGUGGAUCAAAGAACUGCUGGGGUCAGAAGUGAACACAAGUACAGUUCUUUACAAUAUUAUGUGAUAACUUCCAAAUGGGCUCCACAAAUGAGCUAAUUAAGUAACUUCACAAGUGGUAUGAAAAGCAAACCCAAACACUCAGUUUUAGCCUUAUGGAACAGUUUUCCAAGGGUAGCCAGUGAACAAAAAACCCUACAAAUUCCAAGUCCUCUAAGUCCUGGAAGACCUGUAUGACCCUGAGGAAGAGAAAAUAUAACAUAUUGCAAUAGAGUAACUCAGGCUGCCAUGCUGAGUGAGCUGCAGCUUCCUGGUAAAGCCCAUCCUGGGAGAUGUCAGUGGACCCAGAUUCACUGACACAACCCACAUAAAGUAUGGUCAGAUCUCCAAGAUCAAACUCUACAGAGAUUUUAUUCUUUACAUUCUCUACUCCAAGCUGCAAGUGGGAAUUACAUAUUAUUUAAACAUUUCUGCACUUCUGUAAGCAUAGAUUUGGUUCAUUCAUUUAUUACUGUGUCUGUCUGUAUUACUGUGGAACUUGGAUAUUCCGUGUCAAGGACUGUCUCUCAUAUUUCAGUGAACUGCAUCAGUGCUAAGCAUGAGUUACCAUCCAAUUUUUAUGUGCUGAAAGACUGAAUAUAAUUAAUGAAUAAUUUUUAGGAUUAGAUUUCAAAUAAGUAGUGCUUAAAUUUCAGAGAAAAACGUUAACUAAUACAGUAUUACAGAAACACAGAACUGUUUAGGUUAAAAGUGACUCUUUCUCAAGCAAGGCCAGCUAGAAAUGAUUGUCCAGGACCAUGUCCAGUCAAGUUUCCAGUAUUCCCACAGGCAGAGACACCGCAAUCCUCUGGGCAGUCUGUUCUGGUUCUCAGUCAACCUUACAGUAAAAAAAAAAAA